rnacentral:rRNA from 1 species
UGGGGAAUUUUGGACAAUGGGCGAAAGCCUGAUCCAGCAAUGCCGCGUGUGUGAAGAAGGCCUUCGGGUUGUAAAGCACUUUUGUCCGGAAAGAAAUCCUUGGCUCUAAUACAGUCGGGGGAUGACGGUACCGGAAGAAUAAGCACCGGCUAACUACGUGCCAGCAGCCGCGGUAAUACGUAGGGUGCAAGCGUUAAUCGGAAUUACUGGGCGUAAAGCGUGCGCAGGCGGUUUGCUAAGACCGAUGUGAAAUCCCCGGGCUCAACCUGGGAACUGCAUUGGUGACUGGCAGGCUAGAGUAUGGCAGAGGGGGGUAGAAUUCCACGUGUAGCAGUGAAAUGCGUAGAGAUGUGGAGGAAUACCGAUGGCGAAGGCAGCCCCCUGGGCCAAUACUGACGCUCAUGCACGAAAGCGUGGGGAGCAAACAGGAUUAGAUACCCUGGUAGUCCACGCCCUAAACG